UUUAGGCAAUUUUUUUCUAUCUGAAUUAAUAAAGAAUUAGUUGAUCGAGUGACUGUACUGUACGUCCUGGAUUUCUCCUGUUUUUAACCCUCAAAAAUAGAAUAAAAUUUGAAAAAAGAACCAUUUUAUACGUCUUCUAAUGCGAUAUAACCAAUUUAUAUAAACAAUAAAUCAGAUAUGAACCAAUCAGAAAAGACUGACGUCACAAGUCGAGAAACAAAACGGAACAUUUAAAGUGGAGUUAGACGUGAACCCAGUUUAAGAACGUCGAGAAAUAUCGUACGUAAUGCCCAAAAAAGACGGGAAAAAAUUAUUAAAAGAUUACAUAAUCCCGAAUUUAGACAAUAAGCGAUUUAACGAUAAAAUGAUUUUGUU